GCCUUGUCUUCCAUACGAUCUCUCAUGCUCAUUGCAAACAAAGCUGGUUCCUGGUUUACCAGUGCCAUUUGUUUCCUGAGCGCAUUUCCAUGCUCGAGAGAUACGCAAAGCUGACGUUGCAAAACUCCACCUCGCCUCACAUGUCUUCGUUUCCAGACAUUUCUAUGUCUAAAACUGCAGUUUUCUUCUUGAGUAUCUUGAGGACCGAUGCUUUUGCUGUCAAGCCAUGAGCCACU
rnacentral:lncRNA from 1 species